AGCUCCAAUAGCGUAUAUUAAAGUUGUUGCGGUUAAAAAGCUCGUAGUUGGAUCUGCGGUCAUUGACGACGGUCGCCCACUGGGUUGUACUGCUCUGUCGUGACCUACCUUACUGGUUAUCCCUUGGUGCUCUUUACUGAGUGCCCUGGGCGGCUAGUACUUUUACUUUGAAAAAAUUAGAGUGCUCAACGCAGGCUUUUGCCUGAAUAGUGGUGCAUGGAAUAAUGGAAUAGGACCUCGGUUCUAUUUUGUUGGUUUUCGGAGCGCGAGGUAAUGAUUAAGAGGGACAGACGGGGGCAUUCGUACUGCUACGUUAGAGGUGAAAUUCUUGGAUCGUAGCAUGACGAACAACUGCGAAAGCAUUUGCCAAGAAUGUUUUCA
rnacentral:rRNA from 1 species